CAAGAAACUUAUACAGUGAGAAGAGGAAGCCAGUGGGAGACUCAAAGGAGGGGUUUAUGUGGUAAGAAUAAUGAGUCAAGAAGUUGGUUUUAGCAGCAGCUAAAGCUGCUAAAGCUGAAUAGACUUGAGAGAUGCAAAUAUGCAGUAGUUAAGACCAGAAAACAGGAGGUUACAGUAGUGAAGACAUGGGAUGAGGGCUUGGAUGAGGAGAUUGGUUACCCUGAUGUCCUGGCCUGCUCUGUGGGCUGAUGCAAGAGAUUGGCAUUAUAUUUGCCCUCUUCCAGUCGCUGGAAUCUCUCCAGGCUUCCAUGAGUUUUCCAUGGCUCAGAUAACUCUUCAGCCAGCUCUUGAUAUCAACCCAACCACCAUCGUUGUCUAGGAUACCAUAAUGUAUGGCAGCUCUACAAAUGCUGGAUUGCUAAAAAAUGGAGCAAGAAAAUCAUUUCCACGUCAGAGCCUGCAGGUGAAUGGAUCCUGGAUCGACUUUGUGAUGUUCUAUCCUGUGCUUUGGAUUGCUGCCGUUCAAUCUCGUUGGUUUCCUCCUCUGGCUCAUGAGGGGAGUAAUGCCUGUCUGAACCCUCUGUUUUAGU